AUCACGGUCGGGCGCCGUGCAGCAGCAGCACCAUGCGCCUGGGACGGCUCCACCAGGCGCUCAGCUCGGGCAGUGGCGCCUCCCCCACCUCAUCAGCUGUUUCCGUGUCUGCUGCAAUGCGUCUGUGAAGCUCUGACAUUGUGUUCCAGUGAGGGACAGGAUUCGGGUUCACGAGUAGAAGAGCGUGCCGAGGAAUGUCCACCAGUCAGGGAGCAGAAACCAUGGACCAGCACAAGCGGAAUGUUUCUGUCCCCAGGAUGGACUGACCUCACCCCUAGACGGCGGCAUUUCACGUUGCCUCUUCCUGCACAACGUACAUGUUUCUGCUGAGAAGUCACCCUCUUGGAAAAUACUUCCUGGCCUUAGAAUAGGUUUCACCCUUGUUAUGCUUUCUUUUCCUUCAAAUUGCAUGAUUUAUAUCUUCCCAGCUCUUUCUUGGAAAUUGAAGUGGUUAUUUACCUGUUUGUCUGCCUCUCCCACUAGAAUUUAAGUUUCAUGGGAACAAAGACUGUGCGUAUCUUGGCC
rnacentral:lncRNA from 1 species